GAUUUCCUGGCUCAGGACGAACGCCGCGGCGCGCGAACACAUGCAAGUCGAACGAGCGAGAGAGAGCUUGCUUUCUUGAGCGAGUGGCGAACGGGUGAGUAACGCGUGAGGACCUGCUCAAAGAGGGGGACAACAGUUGGAAACGACUGCUAAUACCGCAUAAGCCCACGGGUCGGCAUCGACCAGAGGGAAAAGGAGCAAUCCGCUUUGAGAUGGCCUCGCGUCCGAUUAGYUAGUUGGUGAGGUAAUGGCCCACCAAGGCAACGAUCGGUAGCCGGACUGAGAGGUUGAACGGCCACAUUGGGACUGAGACACGGCCCAGACUCCUACGGGAGGCAGCAGUGGGGAAUAUUGCACAAUGGGGGAAACCCUGAUGCAGCGACGCCGCGUGGAGGAAGAAGGUCUUCGGAUUGUAAACUCCUGUUGUUGGGGAAGAUAAUGACGGUACCCAACAAGGAAGUGACGGCUAACUACGUGCCAGCAGCCGCGGUAAAACGUAGGUCACAAGCGUUGUCCGGAAUUACUGGGUGUAAAGGGAGCGCAGGCGGGAAGACAAGUUGGAAGUGAAAUCUAUGGGCUCAACCCAUAAACUGCUUUCAAAACUGUUUUUCUUGAGUAGUGCAGAGGUAGGCGGAAUUCCCGGUGUAGCGGUGGAAUGCGUAGAUAUCGGGAGGAACACCAGUGGCGAAGGCGGCCUACUGGGCACCAACUGACGCUGAGGCUCGAAAGUGUGGGUAGCAAACAGGAUUAGAUACCCUGGUAGUCCACACCGUAAACGAUGAUUACUAGGUGUUGGAGGAUUGACCCCUUCAGUGCCGCAGUUAACACAAUAAGUAAUCCACCUGGGGAGUACGACCGCAAGGUUGAAACUCAAAGGAAUUGACGGGGGCCCGCACAAGCAGUGGAGUAUGUGGUUUAAUUCGACGCAACGCGAAGAACCUUACCAAGUCUUGACAUCCUGCGACGGUGCUGGAAACAGUACUUUCCUUCSGGACGCAGAGACAGGUGGUGCAUGGUUGUCGUCAGCUCGUGUCGUGAGAUGUUGGGUUAAGUCCCGCAACGAGCGCAACCCUUAUGGUCAGUUACUACGCAAGAGGACUCUGGCCAGACUGCCGUUGACAAAACGGAGGAAGGUGGGGAUGACGUCGAAUCAUCAUGCCCUUUAUGACUUGGGCUACACACGUGCUACAAUGGCSUUAAACAAAAAGAAUCAAGAUCGCGAGGUGGAGCAAAA
rnacentral:rRNA from 1 species